UCUAAGUUUGAUGGCGACCGGCGCACGGGUGAGUAACACGUAUCCAACCUGCCGAUGACUCGGGGAUAGCCUUUCGAAAGAAAGAUUAAUACCCGAUGGCAUAGUUCUUCCGCAUGGUGGAACUAUUAAAGAAUUUCGGUCAUCGAUGGGGAUGCGUUCCAUUAGGUUGUUGGCGGGGUAACGGCCCACCAAGCCUUCGAUGGAUAGGGGUUCUGAGAGGAAGGUCCCCCCACAUUGGAACUGAGACACGGUCCAAACUCCUACGGGAGGCAGCAUG
rnacentral:rRNA from 1 species